rnacentral:lncRNA from 1 species
CUCUGUACUUCCCCUUCCAAUUCCAUACAAACCUCUCUCCCUGGGCCUUUAGGGCCUGAUAUUUUGGGAAUGAACUUAAUCAGUGCUCAGUGAUGUAAAUAAAUCUGCCUCAAAUCCUGGGUGCUGUUUCAGUGUUUCUGUUUGCUGUUGCAUCUGGUGCCAGCCAGGAAGAUCAGCUGUGCUGACCUCUUUGGUCACUGACAGAGCAAGGAUCUCCCCAGGAAGGCACGCUUAUGAGAUUCCUUGUGUCCCUUCACAGGUCUGGAGGAGGAUUCUUGUCUUCCUGCUUGAGUGACUCACACUGGACCCCAAAUGGAGGAGGAUGCAGUAUGUGUCUGUCUGCCUACCUGCCUGCCUGACUCUGAAUAUUGUGGAACUUUAGAGCUAAACAUCUCUUCCUGCUUUCUUUGUGCCAACUUGGAAUUUGAUGAGCAUGAUGUGGCUGUAAGGGCAGCAGGUGACUGUUGGCCACAGUGGGGAAUAUGCAUUUAUCAGGUAAGACAGCAACUAGAGGAAAAAUAGUACAUGAAUAAUACUUUGUG